UGAGGAAUAUUGGUCAAUGGGCGAGAGCCUGAACCAGCCAAGUAGCGUGAAGGAUGAAGGCUCUAUGGGUCGUAAACUUCUUUUAUAUGGGAAUAAAGUUUUCCACGUGUGGAAUUUUGUAUGUACCAUAUGAAUAAGGAUCGGCUAACUCCGUGCCAGCAGCCGCGGUAAAACGUAGGGUGCAAGCGUUGUCCGGAAUUACUGGGUGUAAAGGGAGCGCAGGCGGACCGGCAAGUUGGAAGUGAAAACUAUGGGCUCAACCCAUAAAUUGCUUUCAAAACUGCUGGCCUUGAGUAGUGCAGAGGUAGGUGGAAUUCCCGGUGUAGCGGUGGAAUGCGUAGAUAUCGGGAGGAACACCAGUGGCGAAGGCGACCUACUGGGCACCAACUGACGCUGAGGCUCGAAAGCAUGGGUAGCAAACAGGAUUAGAUACCCUGGUAGUCCAUGCCGUAAACGAUGAUUACUAGGUGUUGGAGGAUUGACCCCUUCAGUGCCGCAGUUAACACAAUAAGUAAUCCACCUGGGGAGUACGACCGCAAGGUUGAAACUCAAAGGAAUUGACGGGGGCCCGCACAAGCAGUGGAGUAUGUGGUUUAAUUCGACGCAACGCGAAGAACCUUACCAAGUCUUGACAUCCUGCGACGCACAUAGAAAUAUGUGUUUCCUUCGGGACGCAGAGACAGGUGGUGCAUGGUUGUCGUCAGCUCGUGUCGUGAGAUGUUGGGUUAAGUCCCGCAACGAGCGCAACCCUUAUGGUCAGUUACUACGCAAGAGGACUCUGGCCAGACUGCCGUUGACAAAACGGAGGAAGGUGGGGAUGACGUCAAAUCAUCAUGCCCUUUAUGACUUGGGCUACACACGUACUACAAUGGCGUUAAACAAAGAGAAGCAAGACCGCGAGGUGGAGCAAAACUCAGAAACAACGUCCCAGUUCGGACUGCAGGCUGCAACUCGCCUGCACGAAGUCGGAAUUGCUAGUAAUCGCAGAUCAGCAUGCUGCGGUGAAUACGUUCCC
rnacentral:rRNA from 1 species